rnacentral:rRNA from 1 species
UACGUAGGGGGCGAGCGUUGUCCGGAAUUAUUGGGCGUAAAGGGUUCGCAGGCGGUUUUUUUAAGUCAGGUGUGAAAGGCAUAGGCUCAACCUGUGUAAGCACUUGAAACUGGAGGACUUGAGUUAAGGAGAGGAAAGUGGAAUUCCUAGUGUAGCGGUGAAAUGCGUAGAUAUUAGGAGGAAUACCAGUGGCGAAGGCGACUUUCUGGACUUAUACUGACGCUGAGGAACGAAAGCGUGGGGAGCAAACAGGAUUAGAUACCCUGGUAGUCCCUGAGCGGGCU